rfam:Vitrella brassicaformis CCMP3155 genome assembly, contig: scaffold501
AUACCUUCUCGGCCUUUUGGCUAAGAUCAAGUGUAGUAACUGUUCUUAUCAGUGUGACAGCUGAUAUUGGUUCAUUGAACCAUGAAUUGUCACAAGAAUUCUUUCUCCGGGGAGAGCGGUUGUUCAGGCUUGCCUGUCGCCCUCUCGCGUGUCGCCUCGCUCUUACACUCGACGGUGAGUGUGGCACACCCUCU